GAUGAAGAACGUAGCGAAAUGCGAUAAGUAAUGUGAAUUGCAGAAUUCAGUGAAUCAUCGAAUCUUUGAACGCACAUUGCGGCCCUUGGUAUUCCGAGGGGCAUGCCUGUUCGAGCGUCAUUAUAACCCCUCAAGCUCAGCUUGGUGUUGGGGCCUGCUGCACUGGCAGCCCUUAAAAUCAGUGGCGGCGCCAUCUGGCUCUAAGCGUAGUAAUUCUUCUCGCUAUGGAGUCCUGGUGGAUGCUUGCCAUCAACCCCCAAUUUUUCUAUGGUUGACCUCGGAUCAGGUAGGGAUACCCGCUGAACUUAAGCAUAUCAAUAAGCGGAGGA
rnacentral:misc_RNA from 1 species